rnacentral:rRNA from 1 species
GGGAUAAAGUGAUCCACGUGUGGAUUAUUGUAGGUACCCUACGAAUAAGGAUCGGCUAACUCCGUGCCAGCAGCCGCGGUAAUACGGAGGAUCCGAGCGUUAUCCGGAUUUAUUGGGUUUAAAGGGUGCGUAGGCGGAUUUUUAAGUCAGUGGUGAAAGGUUGACGCUCAACGUUAACAUUGCCAUUGAAACUGAAGAUCUUGAGUACAAAUGAGGUAGGCGGAAUGUGUUGUGUAGCGGUGAAAUGCUUAGAUAUGACACAGAACACCAAUUGCGAAGGCAGCUUACUGGGAUGUAACUGACGCUGAGGCACGAAAGCGUGGGGAUCAAACAGGAUUAGAUACCCUGGUAGUCCACGCAGUAAACGAUGAUUACUAGCUGUUAGCGAUAGAAUGUUAGUGGCUAAGCGAAAGCGAUAAGUAAUCCACCUGGGGAGUACGUCGCAAGAGAU